GAUGAACGCUGGCGGCGUGCCUAAUACAUGCAAGUCGAACGCAUAGCGAAAGGUGCUUGCACCUUUCAAGUGAGUGGCGAACGGGUGAGUAACACGUGGACAACCUGCCUCAAGGCUGGGGAUAACAUUUGGAAACAGAUGCUAAUACCGAAUAAAACUUAGUGUCGCAUGACACAAAGUUAAAAGGCGCUUCGGCGUCACCUAGAGAUGGAUCCGCGGUGCAUUAGUUAGUUGGUGGGGUAAAGGCCUACCAAGACAAUGAUGCAUAGCCGAGUUGAGAGACUGAUCGGCCACAUUGGGACUGAGACACGGCCCAAACUCCUACGGGAGGCUGCAGUAGGGAAUCUUCCACAAUGGGCGAAAGCCUGAUGGAGCAACGCCGCGUGUGUGAUGAAGGCUUUCGGGUCGUAAAGCACUGUUGUAUGGGAAGAACAGCUAGAAUAGGAAAUGAUUUUAGCUUGACGGUACCAUACCAGAAAGGGACGGCUAAAUACGUG
rnacentral:rRNA from 1 species